AGAGAGGUGGCCGAGCGGUCGAAGGCGCACGCCUGGAAAGUGUGUAUACGCCAAAAGCGUAUCGAGGGUUCGAAUCCCUUCCUCUCUG
rnacentral:tRNA from 2 species